GCGUCAUCCUGUGCCUGGAAUCAGGAAAAGAAAAUUGGAGACAGAGGUGUCACGGAGCCACCGGGCCAAUGCUCUGGAACUACUCCAUAUGAAGCCAGUCAGGACUCUGGGGGAGCAUGCCUCCUCUCUCUGAGCAUACUGUCGCCAGGGCAAGAAGCUUACACAGCUUCGACCUUCCUGGGUCUGACCUCGGAGCAUUCAGCAUCUCCUUCCACACCAUAUGCUUCCCGCAGCAAGUUCGCCUGGGCGGGGCUCCUGGGGAAGCCAGAGGGCCCUGCACCCCAACUCCAUAGUCAGACGUGACUCUCAGCCAGCGUAAAAUGGAAGGUUUAUUAGUUGACAGUGUGACGUUGUGCAGUCUAUAUGGUUUUAUAAAAACUUAAUAAGUCAAUAUAAUGUAACUGAGAUAGUUUUAGAGAAAAUACGGUAAUAAGUGAAUGUAACGUAACUGGGAUAUGCCUCAUGCAAAAGGUCUCUUGUAAGGUAUCAUUCCAAAGCUUAUAAUCUACUGAGUGUGAUCAUCUGAUUUGUAUAAAUGUACCACUCUUGUAUCUAAAACUAGAAAUAUAAAAUGUAACUCUGA